UCAGUCAGUCUUUGUCCACACACUGCAACUAAGGGCCAGAGGAGAACGAGGGACUGGGAGGGGUUCUACCGCUACUGCCCGCAGAUUGGACUCAGGAGCAAGACCAUGGGGGCCGCGUGCGCAGCGGCCGCUCCAGGCAUUCCAAGCUUCUGCCGCCAGAAGACAAAAAGCCCCACUCGCCCCAGGAGUAGCGGUGUCCUGCAGAGACACCUCCUAACAACCCGAUGGAGCCUUUUCUAAAACGCCAUUUAGCCCUCAGGUUUUGGGACCCCGGCGAGCCCCACCAAGCGUCCUUCACCCCGGUCGGUGCCCUGGCCGUCUGUUGGGCACCGUUCGUCUGACGACCUACGGCUCACUGCCCACCCGGCGUCACCCACCGUGCACCAGCCUCCGCAUGUCCUGGUAACGAGCCCAUAAGUGCGCGCUGAGGUCCGCGCCGUCUGCGGGCGCCGAGCGCGGGGUGCUGGGGCAGUGGGCUCCGGGACCCGGCGGGCCGCAGCCAGGGCAGGAGGGUGAGGACGAGGCGGCCCGCGGUCCGCUGUGGCCUCUGCACAGCAGCAAGCGCCUAGCUGUCGCCCGCAGUCCGGCACCCGCCAUGCCCCCUGCGCGCUGCCCCGGCCGCCCUCCGCCCGUCCGCUGGCCCGCCUGCCCGCCGCUCUCCGACUGCCCGCCCGCCACCGUGGCCGCGUGCUUCUCAAGGCGGCCGGCCAAUGGGGGAGGCGCGCGGAGCCCAUCCGGCCAAUGGACGCACCACUCGGCCCAGGGGGCGGGAGGUCUCCGGGACGGGGCGGAGCGGGCUCCGACCCCCGCCUCCUUGUCCCCUGCUCGGCUCAGGGGCUCUGCGCCCCCCUUUGGUCGUCUCGGUGGCGAUGGCGGUACCUUUCCUCCCUUGAGCGGGAAGUCGCAGAGCCCCGGGUCUCCGCGAGAUCCUGGACGGCCGAGGAGCAAGAGCGCUCGAGUGUACUGCUCUUCCUUUGCCCAAGGGUCUUUUUGCCCCUCCCCUGCUCUUCUGUCCUAUUCUUUCCAGACCAGUUCUCCUGCCCCGGGGCCUCGUGCCCCUGCCCCAGUUUCUGACUGACUGCACGUUCCACUGGAGCUGAGGUCGCUAAGACAACAAGAGCUCUACUUGCUUUCAGUACCAGUCCCAAGCUGGCUAAGACCACUUGGCCUGAUGGGCAGCUGACGCCUGCUGAGGCAGCAUUUUCUUUGUAUUGCCUGGUACCCAACCCAGGUGAUCGACUUAAAUGAGGAGCCUAUCUACUGGGCAUACGCUUCUGGCUGUGGGCCAGGAUCACUGCAGCCACCAGGUUUUGGCGGCUGUAAAAGGAUGGGCCAGACGGUGCAGGCCCCCAGUUGAAUUGCCAUGGUUUUUUUCAAGCGCUGUCUCAAUGAAAUUCUUUUCAUUCCAUCCACUUCUGUUUUCUUAGCUUGCAGGUGUACACUAGGAAAGGCUGGGCCCAAUGUCCAUUGUUGGUGGUGAGUUGCCCAACUGAACACACGUGGCUGUUGGGUUUAAGGUUGUGUGUAAUGUGUACGUUUGUAGUUUGCCUGUACCUAUGCUGAGGAUCGGGUGUAUCAGAUUCUGGUCUGGGUAGUCAUGGAUGCCGAAGGGUGGGCUUAUGGGUGGACCCUUGUAGGUCCAUUGACCUAGGUGGGCUGUGAAGACCUGGCCACAUGUGGAUUCCUUCCAAGUGGAUGACACUUUACAAGUUUCAGUCCUCAGAUCCAAGAGAAAUGGCACCAAGUGCCAGGCGUUCACUGUGUGUGGCUUCUCCAGUAGGUACCUCCAGGCAGGCUGCGCUUAGUCAGCUGUUUAUGACCCCCCCCCCUCUUUCUCUGCCUUCAUGGUUCCCUCACUGCCUCUAUUCCUUCCCCAAUAAACUCCUUUCAUACC
rnacentral:lncRNA from 1 species